AACGCACAUUGCGCCCCUUGGUAUUCCGAGGGGCAUGCCUGUUCGAGCGUCAUUAUACCACUCAAGCCUGGCUUGGUGUUGGGGUUCGCACCUCGCGGCCCCUAAAAUCAGUGGCAGUGCCAUCUGGCUCUAAGCGUAGUAAAUUUCCUCGCUAUAGGGUCUGCUGGAUGCUUGCCAGAACCCCCCAUUAUCUUACGGUUGACCUCGGAUCAGGUAGGGAUACCCGCUGAACUUAA
rnacentral:misc_RNA from 1 species